GGGCCGGUGGUCUAGCGGCUAUGACACAUCGUUUACACCGAUGAGGUCGCAGGUUCGAAUCCUGCCCGGCCCA
rnacentral:tRNA from 1 species